UGCAUUGCACUUGGGGCAAUGACGCAUCUAGUGAGGUUCUAACCGAGGCGUGUCUAUUGCUGGUUGAAAACUAUUUCCUGAUCCCCUCUUAGACUUGGGUCCAACUCAAGCCUUUGAGAAUUCCUGGAAGGAUUCCCUUUGGGGUAAAGUC
rfam:Medicago truncatula strain A17 chromosome 5, whole genome shotgun sequence.